GACGAACGCUGGCGGCGUGCUUAACACAUGCAAGUCGAACGGUGAAAGGGAGCUUGCUCCCUGGAUCAGUGGCGAACGGGUGAGUAACACGUGGGCAACCUGCCCCAGACUUCGGGAUAACGCUUCGAAAGAGGUGCUAAUACCGGAUACGAACUCCUUGGGCAUCCUUGGAGUUGGAAAGUUUUUCGGUCUGGGAUGGGCCCGCGGCCUAUCAGCUUGUUGGUGAGGUAACGGCUCACCAAGGCGACGACGGGUAGCCGGCCUGAGAGGGCGACCGGCCACACUGGGACUGAGACACGGCCCAGACUCCUACGGGAGGCAGCAGUGGGGAAUAUUGCGCAAUGGGCGAAAGCCUGACGCAGCAACGCCGCGUGAGGGAUGACGGCCUUCGGGUUGUAAACCUCUUUCAGCAGGGAAGAAGCGAAAGUGACGGUACCUGCAGAAGAAGCACCGGCUAACUACGUGCCAGCCGCCGCAGUAAGAC
rnacentral:rRNA from 1 species